rnacentral:rRNA from 1 species
AAUCAACGCUGGCGGCGUGCCUCAGACAUGCAAGUCGAACGAUUAAAGCUCUCUUCGGAGAGUGCAUAAAGUGGCGCACGGGUGAGUAAAACGUAAGUAAUCUACCUUCGAGUGGGGAAUAACGUCCGGAAACGGACGCUAAUACCGCAUAAUGCAGCGGCACCUAAUGGUGACAGUUGUUAAAGAAUUUAUUCGCUUGAAGAGGAGCUUGCGGCAGAUUAGCUAGUUGGUAAUGUAAUGGCUUACCAAGGCUUCGAUCUGUAACCGGUCUAAGAGGACGGUCGGUCACACUGACACUGAAUAACGGGUCAGACUCCUACGGGAGGCAGCAGUCGGGAAUUUUGGGCAAUGGGCGAAAGCCUGACCCAGCAACGCCGCGUGAAGGAUGAAGUAUUUCGGUAUGUAAACUUCGAAAGAAUGGGAAGAAUCUAUGACGGUACCAUUUAUAAGGUCCGGCUAACUACGUGCCAGCCGCCGCGGUAA